rnacentral:rRNA from 1 species
GAUCCUGGCUCCGGACGAACGCUGGCGGCGUGCCUAAUACAUGCAAGUAGAACGCUGAAGGAGGAGCUUGCUUCUCUGGAUGAGUUGCGAACGGGUGAGUAACGCGUAGGUAACCUGCCUGGUAGCGGGGGAUAACUAUUGGAAACGAUAGCUAAUACCGCAUAAUAGUAGAUGUUGCAUGGCAUUUGCUUAAAAGGUGCAAUUGCAUCACUACCAGAUGGACCUGCGUUG